rnacentral:rRNA from 1 species
UUGGAGGGCAAGUCUGGUGCCAGCAGCCGCGGUAAUUCCAGCUCCAAUAGCGUAUAUUAAAGUUGUUGCAGUUAAAAAGCUCGUAGUUGAAUUUCGGGAUCAAGGAAUCGGUCAUGCCUUGGUAUGUACUGGUUUUAUUGGUUCUCACCUUCUAAAGAACCAUAAUGUCAUUUAUUUGAUGUUAUGGGGAAUUAGGACUGUGACCUUGAAAAAAUUAGAGUGUUUAAAGCAAGCUUACGCUUGAAUACAUUAGCAUGGAAUAAUGAAAUAGGACAUCAGAUUCUAUUUUGUUGGUUUCUAGGAUCGAUGUAAUGAUUAAUAGGGAUAGUUGGGGGCAUUAGUAUUCAAUUGUCAGAGGUGAAAUUCUUGGAUUUAUUGAAGACUAACUACUGCGAAAGCAUUUGCCAAGGAUGUUUUCAUUAAUCAAGAACGAAAGUUAGGGGAUCGAAGACGAUCAGAUACCGUCGUAGUCUUAACCAUAAACUAUGCCGACUAGGGAUCGGAUGAUGUUAAUUUUUUAAUGACUCAUUCGGCGCCUUACGGGAAAC